rnacentral:lncRNA from 10 species
UUUGAUUUCUAGAAGCUGAGAAUUCCAGGCCAAAGCCUUUAUAGUCUUUGGAUUUGAAAUCAUUUCAUCAAGAUAAUUUUCUACUUUAUUUCUUUUUGAUGGCAUAUUCUCUGCAUAAUAAGGACUGAUGGCAUUUGUUUAUUCCUAAAACCUGCUACUAUUUUGUGGGCCUCAGAAAUCCAAAGUCAUGGUCAGAGUUUGUAUAACUAACAAAUUGUAGCAGAAGCUCUGGGGUCCUCAUGCCACAUCCCCUCUGCAGCUCAUUUGAUUUCAACACAACUGAGUGGCACAGUUCUGGCAUGUUGCCAGUAUCCCCCCUCAAACACUUCCCAAGGCUUGUCUGCUUCAGGCCCCCCUCCAAAGCCUGAGAAGGCCACUCAGUCCUUGUGCCAACAAGCAAGGGGCCUGCUGUCAAUCCAUGGGGAACAGGGCACAGCAGAUAAGUAGCCCAGCUUGCCAUGCUCCAGAGAUAACCUUAAUGCAGUCUACUCAAUUCCCAGAGGGUUCUUGUUGUCCAUGGUGAAAACCAACUCCAUAAUACGCCCUUUCUUGCUUUCCCUUUCUCACUUACCCCAUCCUCUCACUUAAGCUUCCUGGGGUCAUUUCAAAAGCAAAACAAAAAGGAAACAAAAACACCCUAUCUACACUCAGUCUCAACUCAGCUCUUGGAGGAAAGCAAACUAAGACACAAAGCAAGCCUAGAGACCUCCCAGUGAGGCAGCAUCACAGGGGUCACUUUUUUUUUUUGGAGACGGAGUCUUGCUCUGCCGCCCAGGCUGGAGUGCAGUGGUGCCAUCUCGGCUCACUGCAACCUCCACCUCCCUGGUUCAAGCAAUUCCCCUGCCUCAGCCUCCCGAGUAGCUGGGAUUAUAAGCACAUGCCACCUCACCUGGCUAAUUUUUUUGUAUUUUUAGUAGAGACAGGGUUUCACCACGUCGGCCAGACGGGUCUUCAACUCCUGACCUCAGGCAAUCUGCCUGCCUUGGCCUCCCAAAGUGCUGGGAUUACAGGCAUGAGCCACCACACCCGGCCAGGAGACACUCUUAAGACAGAACACUUGUCUAAGGCCAUACCACCCUGAACACACCUGAUCUCAGAAGUUAAGCAGGGUUGGGCCUGUCUAGUACUUGGAUGGGAGACUGCCUGGGAAUAUCAGGUGCUGUGGCCUUUAAAAUAAAUUAUAAAAGACAAAGAACACUGGAAAUUGCUCUGCCCCCAUUCCCUUUUGUCCUUGAGUGCAGUUAAUGGAAUUUGAGGCAGCCAGUUCAAUAGCAGAUGAGUUAGGCCUGGCAUUAACAAUUCACAGCUGGAAACCUCAUAUACACACUAGUAAGGUCCACAUGGAAUUUAGGUACCUUUGUAGAAGCACAGCAAGAGGAGCAAAAAAAAUUGUUCCUGGAACUCUACCUGUUUCAAGGCAAGCCUUCACUGAGAUUCAAAGACUCUCUUUUGAUGAUUAAAUCCCUCUCUCAGCCUUCCCUGCAAUACUAAGACAAGCCACAGCCUUGUUCAAGGUCAGCUGUUUUUGACCUCUCAGCUGGGCAUCUGUUAAGGCCCAAGCAGCAGCCCCGUUAUACACAACGCUGUCUGUAUGGAAAACCACCCUUUCCUAUAUAAAAAUAUCCUUUUGCCUGUAGGCAAAGCCGCCAUAAUCU